UCGAAGGUAGCAUAAUCAGUAGUUUUUUAAUUGGAAACUUGUAUGAAUGGUUUAACGAAAUAUUAUCUGUUUCAUAAAAAUUAUAAUAGAAGUUAAUUUUUUAGUUAAAAAGCUAAAAUUUAAUUUAAAGACGAGAAGACCCUAUAGAGUUUUAUAUAUAAUUAAUUGAGUUUUAUUCAUAAUAAUUAAAUUUUUAUUUAAAUUUUAUAUUUUAUUGGGGUGAUAAUAAAAAUUUAUUAUCUUUUAUUAUUUUUUAACAAAGAUUUUUGUUUUAUUGAUCCAUUAUUAUUGAUUAAAGAUUAAAUUACCUUAGGGAUAACAGCGUUAUUUUUUUUUAGAGUUCUUAUCGAUAAAAAUUUUUGCGACCUCGAUGUUGGAUUAA
rnacentral:rRNA from 1 species